AGAGUUUGAUCCUGGCUCAGGACGAACGCUGGCGGCACGCUUAACACAUGCAAGUCGAACGAGAGAAGAGGAGCUUGCUUUUCUGAUCUAGUGGCGGACGGGUGAGUAACACGUGAGCAAUCUGCCUUUCAGAGGGGGAUACCGAUUGGAAGCGAUCGUUAAUACCGCAUAACAUAAUUGAACCGCAUGAUUUGAUUAUCAAAGAUUUAUCGCUGAAAGAUGAGCUCGCGUCUGAUUAGCUAGUUGGUAAGGUAACGGCUUACCAAGGCGACGAUCAGUAGCCGGACUGAGAGGUUGAUCGGCCACAUUGGGACUGAGACACGGCCCAGACUCCUACGGGAGGCAGCAGUGGGGAAUAUUGCACAAUGGAGGAAACUCUGAUGCAGCGAUGCCGCGUGAGGGAAGAAGGUUUUAGGAUUGUAAACCUCUGUCUUCAGGGACGAAAAAAGACGGUACCUGAGGAGGAAGCUCCGGCUAACUACGUGCCAGCAGCCGCGGUAAUACGUAGGGAGCGAGCGUUGUCCGGAAUUACUGGGUGUAAAGGGAGCGUAGGCGGGAUCGCAAGUCAGAUGUGAAAACUAUGGGCUUAACCCAUAAACUGCAUUUGAAACUGUGGUUCUUGAGUGAAGUAGAGGUAAGCGGAAUUCCUAGUGUAGCGGUGAAAUGCGUAGAUAUUAGGAGGGACAUCAGUGGCGAAGGCGGCUUACUGGGCUUUAACUGACGCUGAGGCUCGAAAGCGUGGGGAGCAAACAGGAUUAGAUACCCUGGUAGUCCACGCCGUAAACGAUGAUUACUAGGUGUGGGGGGACUGACCCCUUCCGUGCCGCAGCAAACGCAAUAAGUAAUCCACCUGGGGAGUACGACCGCAAGGUUGAAACUCAAAGGAAUUGACGGGGGCCCGCACAAGCAGUGGAGUACGUGGAUUAAUUCGAAGCAACGCGAAGAACCUUACCAGGUCUUGACAUCGUAUGCAUAGCUCAGAGAUGAGUGAAAUCUCUUCGGAGACAUAUAGACAGGUGGUGCAUGGUUGUCGUCAGCUCGUGUCGUGAGAUGUUGGGUUAAGUCCCGCAACGAGCGCAACCCUUACUGUUAGUUGCUACGCAAGAGCACUCUAGCAGGACUGCCGUUGACAAAACGGAGGAAGGUGGGGAUGACGUCAAAUCAUCAUGCCCCUUAUGACCUGGGCCUCACACAUACUACAAUGGCUGUCAACAGAGGGAAGCAAAGCCGCGAGGUGGAGCGAACCCCUAAAAGCAGUCUUAGUUCGGAUUGUAGGCUGCAACCCGCCUACAUGAAGUCGGAAUUGCUAGUAAUCGCAGAUCAGCAUGCUGCGGUGAAUACGUUCCCGGGCCUUGUACACACCGCCCGUCACGCCAUGGGAGUCGGUAACACCCGAAGCCUGUAGUCUAACCGCAAGGAGGACGCAGUCGAAGGUGGGAUUGAUGACUGGGGUGAAGUCGUAACAAGGUA
rnacentral:rRNA from 1 species